AUUCUCACCUGGCAGGAGCGAUACCAUGAUCACGAAGGUGGUUCACCCUGGGCUUGGCUCUGCCAAGGGUGGUGCUGACCCUUGCGAAUUCCCAAAAUGCGGGAAUCUCGACUGUAUAAUUUCUGGUAGUGGGGGACUGCUAUCUCGCUCUCCCCUG